AAUCGCGAAUCAGAAUGUCGCGGUGAAUACGUUCCCGGGCCUUGUACACACCGCCCGUCACACCAUGAGAGUCGAUAACACCCGAAGCCUGUGAGCUAACCGUAAGGAGGCAGCAGUCGAAGGUGGGGUUGAUGAUUGGGGUGAAGUCGUAACAAGGUACC
rnacentral:rRNA from 1 species